rnacentral:rRNA from 1 species
AAACUUCACACUGGAGGCAACUCCGAUGAGGGAAUUCCUAGUGCUAGCACAUUAGUGUUAGCUUUUCUUAAGCGUAGAUAACUUAAGGAAUAAGGGCUGGGUAAGACGGGUGCCAGCCGCCGCGGUAAUACCCGCAGCCCAAGUGGUGGUCGAUUUUAUUGAGUCUAAAACGUUCGUAGCCGGUUUGGUAAAUCCUUGGGUAAAUCGGGAGGCUCAACUUUCCGAAUUCCGAGGAGACUGCCAAACUUGGGACCGGGAGAGGCGAGAGGUACUUCUGGGGUAGGGGUAAAUCCUGUAAUCCUAGAAGGACCACCGGUGGCGAAGGCGUCUCGCUAGAACGGAUCCGACGGUGAGGGACGAAGCCCUGGGUCGCAAACGGGAUUAGAUACCCCGGUAGUCCAGGGUGUAAACGCUGCAGACUUGGUGUUGGGACCUACGUGGGUGUUCAGUGCCGGAGAGAAGUUGUUAAGUCUGCUACUUGGGGAGUACGUCCGCAAGGAUGAAACUUAAAGGAAUU